rnacentral:rRNA from 1 species
GACGAACGCUGGCGGCGUGCUUAACACAUGCAAGUCGAACGGAAAGGCCCUGCUUUCGUGGGGUGCCAGAGUGGCGAACGGGUGAGAAACACGGGAGUAACCUGCCCAUGACGUUGGGAUAACUUGAGGAAACCGGGGCUACUACAGGAUAGGAGCGCCUGCUGCUGGGGGGGGGUCGGAAAGCUUCGGCGGAGGGGGAUGGACUUUCGGCUAACUAGCUUGUGGGUGGGGUAGUGGCUAAGCAGGGCUUUGGCGGGUAGGCGGCCUGGGUGGGUGGCCGGCGUCAUGGGGACUGCGGUACGGCCCAGUCGCCUACGUGGGACAGCAGUGGAGAAUAUUACACAGUGGGCGGGAGCGUGUUGCGGCAGCGCCGCGUGCGGGAUGACGGCCUUCGGGUUGUAAACCGCUGUCGCCUGUGACGAAGCGGGUUUGACGUUAAUGGGUAAAGAAGCACCGGCUAACUACGUG